UUCCACAUUGGUGUCUACCAUAAGAUUUC
rnacentral:piRNA from 1 species